AAAUAUGCGCUCAGGUGGCUCCUCCUUACCGGCAGAGACCGAUCACCGAUCGGAGGCGCGCUGUGUGCCAUCUCGUCGCAGCGCCCAAGACCAUCUUCCGAGGAGUCAGUAGAAUUUUACGAGCCGUCGGUGCUGUACCUGCGCGUUAACCUGCAUACCCGAGACAGGCUCUGUACUUGCCUCCGGACUGCAAGCUGCAAGUACGGUGUACGGUAAUAGGUCUACCUGGAAUAGGCCUAUCGUUCAUUUGUUGAGAGACGUAUUCAGUUGUUAUUGUAAAUAGAUUGCAUUGAAAUGCUGAAUGCAGUCCACGACGAUGAGUACGGUUAUGCAUUGAAUUUAUACUUUUACCGCUUUACAAUGUGUAGAUAUUUGUGGAUGACAUCCCCGCGAAAAGCCGCGGAGUUCUUCGGCAUCGGUGAAAAGCUGUGAACAAAGUCAAAGCAAAGGAAACCUCGGGAGGUGGAAGAUGCAGAAAUAAAAGAAAAAUAAUUGUACGAUAAACGAUUUGGUUUACUUUUAUUUAGUAUCCCGUAAGUUCAUAGUAUAAUGUUCUUCGUUAAAGCCGUAUGAUUCUUCCACACAUAGAACGGGAACGGCGUUCUCUUGUCCCUCUGUUCGUUCAAUUAAUCAUAAUCAAUUAAUAUCUGUUUGCCACACAUUUUUCCUCGAAACUCAUUUGUUUUCUCGCGAAUUUCUCAUUCCUCUUGCGCAAAAUCCGAAAGGAAAAACCAUACACACAUAUAUAUAUAUAUAUAUAUAAUAGAUCGCGG